rnacentral:rRNA from 1 species
CCCAUGCGGGGUGCCUCUCGGGGUGCCCCGGCCGCUUUGGUGACUCUAGAUAACCUCGAGCCGAUCGCUGGCCCCCGUGGCGGCGACGUCUCAUUCGAAUGUCUGCCCUAUCAACUUUCGAUGGUACUUUCUGUGCCUACCAUGGUGACCACGGGUAACGGGGAAUCAGGGUUCGAUUCCGGAGAGGGAGCCUGAGAAACGGCUACCACAUCCAAGGAAGGCAGCAGGCGCGCAAAUUACCCACUCCCGACUCGGGGAGGUAGUGACGAAAAAUAACAAUACAGGACUCUUUCGAGGCCCUGUAAUUGGAAUGAGUACACUUUAAAUCCUUUAACGAGGAUCAAUUGGAGGGCAAGUCUGGUGCCAGCAGCCGCGGUAAUUCCAGCUCCAAUAGCGUAUCUUAAAGUUGCUGCAGUUAAAAAGCUCGUAGUUGGAUCUCGGGAUCGAGC